GUUGAAAUAAAAUUAUAGUGAGAGCCAUUGCAUGCUAAUACAUUUGAGAAUUUUACCAGAAAUACUUAGCUAAAGAAAUGAGGAGAUACCAUGGGAAUCUCUUUGGUAAAUGGGAAUUGAGGAACAUACUGUAUAACCCUCCAUGAAUCAAACUGUUGUUGCUAAACUAAUCACCAGGAAAAUCCUUGAAUACAAUCUAGCUAGCAUUUUAGCACACCCCUGCCAUAAUGUUUUUCUUACCUAUCUUUGUGGGAUCUCAGGAGUCUCAUGAAGUUAGAUGUUGUCACUCAUCAAACAUUUAAGUGUUUCAUGUUUUGCACACUGCUGUCAUUUUCCUGCACACCUCGAAAAAGAUGCCAUGAAAGCAAGUUCUCAAUCCCUUCCGAAUUGGCGACCUGAAGCUGACAGCUGAACGCUAGGUCUAGGUUGAGUGACAUUGAGAAAAGUGAUACUAGAGUGAAGUAUUGUUGUGUUGUCCCGCCCACCCUCAGUUGAGAACAGUAAACACAAGGACUUUGAGUGUAGAGUGUUGAGAGCUGAGAGAUGAGAGAGGAUUGAGGAUUGAGGAUUGAGAGGAAGGUGCUGGGAAAAUCUCUCUCGAGUCAAACAGCUGAACAAAAAUUAUUGUGGGUUAUAAGGAAGGGUAGUACUGGGCUAGAGGUUACAGUGAGGUUAGAACAGGGAUAGUGGUUAAGGCAAGGUUAGUACUGGGCUAGGGGUUAAGGUGAAGUUAGUACUGGGCUAGGGGUUAAGGUGAAGUUAGUACUGGGCUAGGGGUUAAGGUGAAGUUAGUACUGGGCUAGGGGUUAAGGUGAAGUUAGUACUGGGCUAGGGGUUAAGGCAAGGUUAGUACUGGGCUAGGGGUUAAGGUGAAGUUAGUACUGGGCUAGGGGUUAAGGUGAAGUUAGUACUGGGCUAAGGGGUUAAGGUGAAGUUAGUACUGGGCUAGGGGUUAAGGUGAAGUUAGUACUGGGCUAGGGGUUAAGGUGAAG
ensembl:lncRNA